UGUCAAAACAUCAAAGAGGCACAUAGAAAAGAUUUCACUUUCAAGAUUUGAAGAACGGCAGGCAAAAUGAUUCUGCCUUUACUGCUUCUAUCGGCUAUAGGUGCAGUGACAACUCAGGCUUCAGG